rnacentral:misc_RNA from 1 species
GAAUUCAAAGGGCUUAUAAGGGUAGAGGGCUGGCUACCUAAUUAGUUAGUUUUAACCCAAGUAAAUUCACCUCACACUUCACAGACUCUUGCUUGGUGACCCACUCAUUCAUCUCCACCGUUCAAUUCGGCCCAUUUUCUUAAGAACUUCAAUUACGUUGACACAUUGGAGUAGCAAAUUGUAAAAGUUAGAAAUGUAUGUUUGUGAGAGAAUCAAUCAAAGUAUAUACAGUUUCCAACCAACAAAAAGUCCAGGUUCAGGAUUUUAGACAUAGUACAAGUAAUGGAGCAGAA